ACAGCUGUAAUUUCUUUUUGUAGAGAGGCUGUUUUAUGUGUCACAAGUGUUCAAUACAUGUUUGAUAGAAGUUUAUAAUGUGCCUAUGGAAGCCAACACCCAGACCAGAAGGUAGAGUGGUUUCCUGGCUGGGAACUGUCGAUACUGUCAUGUUGGAUAUUUAUCUUUUCCACCUGGGGGACAACACUGAAACAGCUCCAUAAUGAGGUUCUGCCUGGUGUCUGCAGGUCUUAGAGGACUUGCUGACUUAUUUUACUUUAAAAUGGCAAAGAAAAAAAUUACAUUCUAGUACUCCUCCCUUAAUGUUUUUCGUGGUGAUUUUAGCCAAGGUUAAUGCAAUCUUGACUUCAUAUUACACAAUGAGUGAACGAUAGUCUUCCUAUCCCCUAUUCCCCCCUUUCUCAAGCUUAAGUAUGCAUCAAAAUCACCUGGAGGGUUUGUAAAACAACAAAUUGCUAGGAUCCACUCCCAGAGUUCCUGAUUCAAUAGAUCUGGGGUGGGGUUCAAAUUUUCAUAUUUUUAAUAAAUUCCCAGGUAAUGCUGAUGCUGCUCUGCCAGGGACCACAGUUUGAGAACCACUCUACUUGAGCGAUGGUACUUUAGAAACCUGGUUAAAAGUUAUGUUAGCACUUAUUAUUGUCAAACAUAUUAUCAGGGAAUUUUUGCUAGGGGAAAGUAUAAAAGAUUGAGGAAAGUUGAGUGCAUGAUUAAUGUAUCAAUUAGCAAGUGUUGGAGAUCAUUAUGCUGAGCCUUCUAAUGUGAUUUGGUACUUACUGAAGUCUAUUCUGUGUUUAGCAGAGGGUCACAAUGUAAUGUUCCAUAUUAGGGGUAUUUAACAACAUUUGGAAGUUCAUUUUGGACAUUUCAUAUAUAUUUGUUAUAUACCAAGGAAUCUUAAAACAUGAAAAAAAAUUUAUAUGCCAUCAAAUUUAGCCCUUUGCCUUUUCUGAGGAGAAUGAAACUUGAAUUGUCUUAUUCUUCUGUCUAACCAAUUGUCCUGAUGUCACUAAGAGUUAUUCUCUAAUUUUUUACUUGUUUUUUUCUUUUACGUCUAACCAUGAGCUUCUUGCAUCUAAGCUCAUUUCUUUCUGUUUGGUCCUAAGUGGAAAUGAAAAGCUACUUUCCUGGGCAUGGUUAAAAUUCAUGUUCUAUAAGGCAGUCAUGAAUAACCACUGAGCCUGCCUCAGCUGAAAUUCAUCCAGUUACAUUUAUCUAUUCUAUUUACCAAUAGUUUCCUCUUAUAAAACUGCAGUUCUGGGAUUGAGGGGGCCAGAAUCUGAAAGAAUUUUAUAUUUGAACAUAGUCUUUGGGGUCUUUUCUUAGGAUUUAGAUCUGUGCUCAGAAAUACUCUGCAAGUAAAUAUUAGGGGGUGUUAUGGGCUAAACAUUAUCAAAAUUGUGCAAGGAUCACAUGUGUUUUAUUGUCACAGUUCCUAGUUUCUGACUCUGAAAUAAGAUCAUUUGAUUUUUUCCAGCCAUCACUAAUAUGGUUUAUAAACAGGUUACAAGACAUUUGCUGAAGUAACUAGCUCAUGUCAUCUGUUUAAAACCUUUUUACAAGGGAAACCAACAAGAAUGUUCCUAUUUAAAGAAGAAUGGAUAUGUUUUUAACAGUGUGUGAUUUUAAAUACGCCAGCUCAGUUACUCAGACACUCAUGUUAAUGAAGUCAAGGUCAGGGUUUGAUCUUUGGGUAGGUCACCUAGUGUUGUUUUCUUUCAUUCUGACCACUAUCUUGCAAACACUAGCUCUUGAUCACAGGAAGUAUGUUCAGAAAUAGGGAACUCCUGAUGGCAAUGGUCAGGAAUCCAGGGAAGGUAGGGGCUGGACACUAGACAGGUCCACCUGGGGUCCUAGGAAAGACACAGCAAUGGACUACAGGAAAAUAUCUGAACAGUGAGAUGGAGCAUUAGGGAAGCCUGUGUGGAAAUGAAAUGCGUAUAAAUGAGGGGGCAGUCAGUUUGGGUUGUAAGUGUAAUCGUGGGUAGAGGAACCCAUGCUUGGAAACUAGGAUGUAAGGGCAGGAAUCUAGUUUUUAGGGGGGCUGAAAAAACAAUUAUUGUAAUUAUAAUAAUAUUUAUUAAGAACUAUUAAUAGGCAAGUAACUGUGCUAAAUUAUAGUAGUAACACUUAAGUAGUGCUUACUUCUAAAUUAGUUUAUUGAACACUCAUACUAAUGUAAGAACUGUUACUAUUCCUGUUCAACAGAUGAGGAAACUGCAUCUUAGAGUUGUUAAGUAAGAUAUUCAAGGUAACACAGUUUAAUAAGGUGUGGAGCCUCAAAAAAAAAAGUUGAAAUACUACUAUUGUCAUCACUGUUUUUGAGUGAAGAAAUGAAGGCAAAGACAUUAACUUUUUGAAGCUCAUACCACUAGUGAAUGGUGAAAGCCAGGAUUUGAAAUGCAGCUAACUGACUUUAGAGCUCAUUCUUUAGCUACAACUUUUUAUUGCCUCAGAGUAAAUGAAAAAAGAGUUCCAAAGAUUGAGUUAUUGCAGGGACUAGUGCAUAAGCUACUAGGAAAAUGGCCUAGUUAUUGAAGAGCAGUACAAAAUUAGAACUUAGAAAUAAGAGCAAGUUGAGCCUGGGUGCAGUGGCUCAUGCCUGUAAUCCCAGCACUUUGGGAGGCCGAGGUGGGUGGAUCACCUGAGGUCGGGAGUUUGAGACCAGCCUGACCAACAUGGAGAAACCCUGUCUCUACUAAAAAUACAAAAUUAGCUGGGCAUGGUGGUGGAUGCCUGUAAUCCCAGCUACUCGGGAGGCUGAGGCAGGAGAAUCGCUUGAACCCAGAAGGCAUUGCAGUGAGCCAAGAUCGUGCCAUUGCACUCCAGCCUGGGCAACAAGAGCAAAAAACCCCAUCUCAAAAAAAAAAACCAAAAAAAAAAAAAAGAAAUAAGAGCAGGUUGAAUAGGCAAAACAGCUAGCCUGACUCGGUACUGGCUCCUAACCCGCAUAUCUUUUAAGUCCUCCCUGACCAGGAAAAGGAUCCUUGUAGAACCGAAGUGGAUCUGAACUUACAAAGACCAAGUAGAUUAAAUAGAGAAUAAAAGGAGAUAAGAACAAGGUGAAAAGCAGGGAUCAAGAUUAUGUGGAUGGAAUUUCAUUGACAUUGGGAUAUAGCUAAAACUCACACUCACCAUAGAAGGAUAAAAGGAUAAAACUUGUCAUUUUUUAAUAUAAAGCAUCCGGCAACAUGUAACAUUGUCUUUUAAGAUGUUGUAAGGAAAUACCAUAUUGCAUAAAUGAAGAGCAUGUAUAUCUAGAAAGUGAAUUUUGUGAAAUUCCUUUUCAGCAAUCAUUCCGGCCAAGAUUCCUUGGUGUGGCUGAACAAUUACACAAUGAAGGUUUCAAGCUGUUUGCCACGGAAGCCACAUCAGACUGGCUCAACGCCAACAAUGUCCCUGCCACCCCAGUGGCAUGGCCGUCUCAAGAAGGACAGAAUCCCAGCCUCUCUUCCAUCAGAAAAUUGAUUAGAGAUGGCAGCAUUGACCUAGUGAUUAACCUUCCCAACAACAACACUAAAUUUGUCCAUGAUAAUUAUGUGAUUCGGAGGACAGCUGUUGAUAGUGGAAUCCCUCUCCUCACUAAUUUUCAGGUGACCAAACUUUUUGCUGAAGCUGUGCAGAAAUCUCGCAAGGUGGACUCCAAGAGUCUUUUCCACUACAGGCAGUACAGUGCUGGAAAAGCAGCAUAGAGAUGCAGACACCCCAGCCCCAUUAUUAAAUCAACCUGAGCCACAUGUUAUCUAAAGGAACUGAUUCACAACUUUCUCAGAGAUGAAUAUUGAUAACUAAACUUCAUUUCAGUUUACUUUGUUAUGCCUUAAUAUUCUGUGUCUUUUGCAAUUAAAUUGUCAGUCACUUCUUCAAAACCUUACAGUCCUUCCUAAGUUACUCUUCAUGAGAUUUCAUCCAUUUACUAAUACUGUAUUUUUGGUGGACUAGGCUUGCCUAUGUGCUUAUGUGUAGCUUUUUACUUUUUAUGGUGCUGAUUAAUGGUGAUCAAGGUAGGAAAAGUUGCUGUUCUAUUUUCUGAACUCUUUCUAUACUUUAAGAUACUCUAUUUUUAAAACACUAUCUGCAAACUCAGGACACUUUAACAGGGCAGAAUACUCUAAAAACUUGAUAAAAUUAAAUAUAGAUUUAAUUUAUGAACCUUCCAUCAUGAUGUUUGUGUAUUGCUUCUUUUUGGAUCCUCAUUCUCACCCAUUUGGCUAAUCCAGGAAUAUUGUUAUCCCUUCCCAUUAUAUUGAAGUUGAGAAAUGUGACAGAGGCAUUUAGAGUAUGGACUUUUCUUUUCUUUUUCUUUUUCUUUUUUUCUUUUUGAGAUGGAGUCACACUCUCCAGGCUGGAGUGCAGUGGCACAAUCUCGGCUCACUGCAAUUUCCGUCUCCCAAGUUCAAGCGAUUCUCCUGCUUUAGACUAUGGAUUUCUUUAAGGAAUACUGGUUUGCAGUUUUGUUUUCUGGACUAUAUCAGCAGAUGGUAGACAGUGUUUAUGUAGAUGUGUUGUUGUUUUUAUCAUUGGAUUUUAACUUGGCCCGAGUGAAAUAAUCAGAUUUUUGUCAUUCACACUCUCCCCCAGUUUUGGAAUAACUUGGAAGUAAGGUUCAUUCCCUUAAGACGAUGGAUUCUGUUGAACUAUGGGGUCCCACACUGCACUAUUAAUUCCACCCACUGUAAGGGCAAGGACACCAUUCCUUCUACAUAUAAGAAAAAAGUCUCUCCCCAAGGGCAGCCUUUGUUACUUUUAAAUAUUUUCUGUUAUUACAAGUGCUCUAAUUGUGAACUUUUAAAUAAAAUACUAUUAAGAGGUAA
rnacentral:lncRNA from 10 species